AGAUCCUCACUGAAAUGGCCAAUGGAAUUUUAAAAACAUGAGAGAGAGCCAGACGGAGGAAGCGCACGAGCACGCACAGAUUAAAAACAUCAAGAGGACAUAGGUUACAUCCUUUCAUGGAUACCACAGUACUACCAGCAACUAUUACUGGGCCCUACACUUACAAGAGGUUCAGUAAAUAUUUGUAAAAUGAAGGCAAGAAGAAACGCUACAAAGAAAUACACCAAUAUGCCAACAGUGGUAAUCCCUGGGAAGUGAACGGAUAAAUGAACUGUGGUACAUCCAAACAUACUGCGUGAUUCCGACUACAUGACAUUCUGGAAAAGGCAAAACUAUGGAAACAGUAAAAAGAUCUGC